AUUUGUUAAACUUGUAUUUUUAAUUGAUAUGAAUUAUUCAACAAUCAGAAACAUGUUAUUUAUGAAUACUUUGCAACUAUUUCUAUAUCGAGUUUUGCACGUGAUUCAGGAAACCGGUUUGCACACGAUUAUAUAACGUUAUAUAUAUUUAUAAAUGUGCGUGCUUCCAUCGAACGUAUUGAGUGCUUAUGCAGUGUUUGUAUUCAUGAAGACUGCUUAAGGUAAAAGUAUCGAGUUUGCACUAAUGCAUAUGCAUCAAUGCAUUGAGUUUUCACACAGCUCCAAAAAUAAUACAUAAUAAAAAUUGAAAAAGCUAGCCUAAUCAUUUUUUAUGUUGUUUAAUACUGUUGUUUUUCUCUAUCUGUCUUUCCAUUGCGAACAUUUGUGGUGCAACAAUAGAAGGAUAUGGUGCAUCCUGUUUUUGGAGGUAUACAAUUUUGUUAAUUUAACACUUGACUAUUAAUUGUUUUUGACAAAUUGGCUUUGCCAAAAUAAAAGGUGAACCUGGCAUAUUUUCUGCAUUUUGGGUGAUUUGUCUGCUUUUAAAGGCAUCAUAUUUUUCUCAGUCAGUUAAGAUACAGUAUAAAAGCUUGUGUAAGGACCAUGAAAAUCAACUUUUUUGUUUCAUGUACUUGUACUUUUCAGUCCAAUGCUGUCUACGGAAAUACACAGAGAAGUUGAUUCAGUGUUUAAUGGUGUACAUCUCUGACAAUGCUGAUAAUCUCAUCAGGCAUUACCAGGAUAGCCAUGGUGACCUAAAGGAACUGGAACAGCACACACACUGAGGAUUAUCACAAAGGUGGCUUCAUGGAUGAUCCUUUAAAGACUGUAACUUUCUUUUGGUCAAAUUGUCACUUUUUUCAGAAGUACUACAGUCAUGAUUUUUGGUUUUAGACUAUUUAAGUUGCUGUUUCCAGAGUAGUAUUGCAAUCUCUGUCAGAAAACCUAAAAUGCUUUAUUUUUGUACUGAUUUUACUAAUUGUACUAAUUGUGUGAAAACCUUUUGUUGAAAUGCUGUCCAAAAAUUAGGUAAAAUGCUGUUUUGUGUUUAUUGUAUGUUUUGUACUUAUUUUAAGACAUUGAGUGUUCUAGAGCAGUACAGUAAGUUUUAUUCAAUAGCUCAAGGUCUAAAAUUAAUUAAAAUUUUAAGUUUGUUCAACU